rnacentral:rRNA from 1 species
AACGAACGCUGGCGGCGCGCCUAAUACAUGCAAGUCGAGCGAGAAGACGUAGCAAUACGUUUGUAAAGCGGCGAACGGGUGAGGAAUGCAUGGGUAACCUACCCUCGAGUGGGGAAUAACUAGCCGAAAGGUUAGCUAAUACCGCGUACGCUCCUUGGACUUCGGUUCAGGGAGGAAAGCGAUACCGUGGGUAUCGCGCUCUUGGAUGGGCUCAUGUCCUAUCAGCUUGUUGGUGAGGUAACGGCUCACCAAGGCUUCGACGGGUAGCUGGUCUGAGAGGACGAUCAGCCACACUGGCACUGCGACACGGGCCA